UGGGGAAUAUUGCGCAAUGGAGGAAACUCUGACGCAGUGACGCCGCGUAUAGGAAGAAGGUUUUCGGAUUGUAAACUAUUGUCGUUAGGGAAGAUACAAGACAGUACCUAAGGAGGAAGCCCCGGCUAACUAUGUGCCAGCAGCCGCGGUAAUACAUAGGGGGCAAGCGUUAUCCGGAUUAUUGGGUGUAAAGGGUGCGUAGAUGGAGGAGCAAGUUGGUUGUGAAAUCCCUCGGCUCAACUGAGGAACUGCAACCAAAACUACUUCCCUUGAGUGUCGGAGAGGAAAGUGGAAUUCCUAGUGUAGCGGUGAAAUGCGUAGAUAUUAGGAGGAACACCAGUGGCGAAGGCGACUUUCUGGACGAUAACUGACAUUGAGGCACGAAAGUGUGGGGAGCAAACAGGAUUAGAUACCC
rnacentral:rRNA from 1 species